CAGAGUUAAAUGAUGUCCUCCCGUUAUCAGUGUACAGGGUACAAGGAGAACCUAUGGUGACACUGAGAAGAUUUGUUAUUUGCUAAAUACCUGUCCAUCCUUUUUCCCCAGGUGGCCGUGCAACAGAAAUUAACCAUGAGGGUUACUGUCUGUGAGGGAGACAUACGAAAGAUGACUUUUACAUCAGACAAAGACCAUGGAGCCAACAGACAUCAGGUGCCUUUGUCUUCGGGGACUGCCGGUCAUCUUGGGAGAUGAUCCUUCCGCCUUCUUCAAGACAUGCUUCGACGCAACUGACAAGGACUCAUACAGUCAAACUCCAGUGGGAAUCCUUUGCAUUGAUGAAGAAAAUCCUCAGCUGAACCCAUCGUGUGUUGAUGGAUGAGCUGGCUAACAUUCCUCAGGCCUUCUGUGUCCUUUUUGGACUGAUUUAUGCCCUGCACCUGGACUAUCCCAAGUACAUGAAAAACACCUUCUUUUUGUCCAGCAGGUGAUGCUCAACCUGGGUAAAAGUGAGCUGGCAACCAAAAUUCAGACUCUGAAAAAUCAGCUUGUACUGUAAAACGGGGUUCCAAGUAGUUAUGCUACAGUUCCAGAUAUCAGGUGCAUUUUUAUUUUUGCAUUUCAACAUGUCUGUGCACUGUUUGCACUUUAUGCUGGAUGGCAUUGGCAGAGAUAUCAUGAAAAGAGGUUGAUUAAUAACAAGAUUCUAUUUUUACUCAGUCCUAGUAUUACGUAAAGUAAUCCCAUGCUGUUAGUAUUGUGAACGCAGGGUAUGGUUUUUAAGAGUUUUUGUAAAUACCGGUAACUGUCAUAAAGAGAAAGGUUGAAAACCUAAAAACUUGCAGAGAUUUGUAAAGCAAGGCAUUAUUUUCCUUGACUUCUCAUGUUGUUGUUUGAAGUUAAAACUUCUGAAAUAAAACAGAAUAAGAAUGUAA